AAUUCCUAUUUUAGUUGGGUCAAUUCUAGUUAAAAAUGGAAGAGAUGUUGUCAUCUUUAUUCCAUACCAAUUAAAAUAAAAUCAAUUAAAUAAGAAUUAAGAUAAAAUAAUUAGGAAUAGGAAACUUACCCAUUUAUUUUUAUUAGGCUAUUAUGAGUAGAUUAGAAUAAAGAGGGAAGGAAAAAGGGAAGAGAGCCAUUGUGCUUGGUGGCUGCCGAAACUAGAGAGAAGGAGAGAGAGAGAGACAGAGAGAGGUGUGUUCUAGAGAUAGAAGGAGAGAAAGGAAGAAAAGAAAGGAGGAAGAAGAAGAAGGUCUUGGGAGGUCUUAGGGUAUUCAAGAGUGAUUGCCAUUUGGGUGUUGAUCAAUUUGUGUUCUUUAUUUUACAAUCAAGAGAGUUUUCUUGCAUAUAGGCGGCGAAGAUGAGCACGCGACGACAAUGUGGUGGACAGUGGCUUUCUUUAUUUUUCUUGGAGGUUGGGGGCGAGGUCUUUGGUGUUCUUGGAGAUGAUGGUGGUGGCGAAAUCAUGGUGUUCUUGGAGUUGAUGGCAGUAGUGGGAUCUUGGUGUUCUCGGAGGUGACGAUGGUGGCGAGGUCUAGGUCUUCUUGGAGUUGAUGGCAGUGACGAGAGCUUGGUCUUCUUAGAGUUGAUGGCGACAACGACUUUCUUCCUAUGCACGGGGUGGAUUUUACUUAUACUUAUAUAUAUAUGUAUAUAUAUUGUAAAUUUCAGUCUGGGAUGAGUCUAUAAUGUGGAUGUGGUCAUUAAUUGGCUAAUAAGUUCCCAAUCUCUGCAUUUUGUUCUAUGUGAUUCAUAUUGUAGAGUUUGCUAAUGUAUCAAACAAUAAA